CGAAGGUGGGAUAAAUGAUUGGGGUGAAGUCGUAACAAGGUAGCCGUAUCGGAAGGUGCGGCUGGAUCACCUCCUUUCUAAGGA
rnacentral:rRNA from 1 species